rnacentral:misc_RNA from 1 species
AUCGUUUAACAGUAUAGGCUUUAAGAUUAAGCUUGUGUGAGUAAAUCCAGCAUCCAUAGUUGAAACUUUGAAAUCCAUAAGCUCUGCCCAGAAUGCUUUUGACAUGUUUUACGCGAAUCAACAUGACCGUAUAGCCCCUAACUCUACCAGAAUCUAGAUUUUGGUUUUGUUAGCACCUCAAGAAGCCUGAACAUCCAUCUAUCCAGCAUUCCUGAUAAAGCAAAUGUACCACCUAAAACUGCACAAAGCCGAGUGAUAAAAUGAAGAAAACUACGUCGUUCCUCUUUGAUUGCCACAGUGAUGGGUGACAAAUCAUACAAGAAGUAAACAGCUGGCCAUUUCUUA